GAGUGUAAGUCUCUAUAAAUUCUUUUAAUUCAAAGAAACUCCAAGUUCUACUGAAUACAUUAGAAAAAUCUUUGUAGACAUAAUAUAUGUAACAAGUUAUUCAUAAAUGAUAACUUAUAGUAGAAAACCACAGCAUUCCCAAUUAAGAAUUAUAUAUACUAUCCUGAUUAUCUGGUGAUAAAAACAAAAUGACUAUAUUAUAAAUGCUCAAAUAAUUAAGGAUCUCUAAGAUUCAGAUAAAUAGCAUAAUGCACACUUAGUAGAUAUCUGUUACCAUUUCACUGUAUAGAGUAUAUAUAUGCAAUGAAGAGGGGUACAUUAAAAACCAGUUUUACAAAAUUAUUAAACUUUUAAAGCUGAUACUUGGAGGUACACUAUUCCUAUAUAUUGGUUGAUAUGAAAUAAACUGUUAAAUUUAUCGUACUGAUUGAGAGAUAUAGACAUAAAAAUGGUUUAUCACAUUAAGACAGACCACGUCAUAAAUGUCUACAUAUGACCAUUAUAAAUUAUUCUAAUUAGCUCCCCCAUCAUGGUCUCUGUUACUUGAACUAAUGUAUUUCAUUCUUCUUUGAUUCAGGACUUUCUAUAAUGUUUUGUAUAGUAUGCUUUGUACUCACUGCACUUCAUAAAUCUGUAUAUUCAUUCACUG
rnacentral:lncRNA from 1 species